AGGUUCCUACAGUACAGUGCUGUAAUGGGAAUGCAAAUGAAACUGGAGCACUUUUGUUUGGUAAAGCAUGUACAUGAAUGCGAAUUGAGCAUCUUUAGAUCCAAUUUGGUGUAUCACAUGAAAAGAGGAUUGUCAACAAAGGACAAGUAACUUGUGCAGACAGAUAUAAGGCAGCAUGAAUAGUUAGUACUUGGUGCAUCUGCUGAUCAAUGUGUUUGUAAAAGAGGACAUUAACAAUGAUGAGGCUGUAUAUCACCAGGACUACUGCUGAAUUAUGGAAGGUUUACAGCUAAACAAUCCUAUGGUUGGAAUCAAUAUCCAGGGACAGCUCUCCCUUAAGGGGGCCAAGUGUUGUGACCUUGUUAUAUGGCCAACAAAGGACAUAAAAAGUCCUAAAGAUAGUUAUGAAGAAAGUUAUAUAGACUAUUAAACAUUUCAUCAAUUUAUAUUGAAUAAAGUACAUUAUGUAUAAUUUAAUACAUUCCAUAAUAACUUUGUUUCUACAUGCACAUGAAUAAAAAUAACACUUGAGUAUGGUCACAAAGGGAUAGUCAGUGAUCUACAAUUAUUACCCUGAAUGCAUGUAAGAAGCUUUAUGUGAAUGCUUUUUUAUUAAUGAUUAAUGAAAACAUAUACAUAGGUUAAGGUCUUUAAGUUGUUUCUGAGUGUAUACCUUGGAUGGUACAUGUUUGUACUGACUGUAUAUUCACUUGUCUUAAGUGUCAAAACUAUAGCUAUUAAUGUAUGUCAAAAUCAAAUAUUUAUAUUUCUUGAAGUGAUAACUUUACUGAAUCAUUCUCUUGAAUAACAUUAUGAAAUGUUUGAUUCAUGUUCAAAACUUGAAAGGAAUACACAGCAAAAUGAUGUUCUUCUCUGUAUUCAAUUUGAUUAAAGUGACUUUACAAAAACAAAGAUUUAUGUGUUACAAUUCAUCUGAAAGUAAAAUGACAUGAGAUAAAUCAAUGUAACAUAUGUGUUUAUAUUGAUAUUUAUUGAUUUAUUGUUACUUGAAUGCAUUAAAAAUUGUUGGGAUGAAUAUUAAAAACACAAAGAAAAUAACACAAAAGGGACAAUAAUGAAAAUAAACAAUCUUAAUGUAAAGCUGUGAAACUUUCUACAGAAUUCCCUGGAAGUGACAUUUUAUAUUUAAUGUGCUAAAUUUAUUAUUUGUCUUAACUGCUCUUGUCUGAAUAGUACCCUGUGUCUGUUAAAACAUAUUGUUUUUAUAUUGUUAUCUAGUUUCAAGAUUGUUUUCUAGCAGAUAUGUACAUCAAUUCUAAAUAGGUAUUAUUAAAAAUUAAUAUGAAUUAGAAACAUUGCAACAUGUCAUUUUAAUGUCAUAAUUUUCUUUGCAAUAUGUAUUCAUUGUCAUACUGGAAUAAUACUAAAAGACUUUGUAACAUUCUAACACUUACUGUUCUGUAAAUACUUUUACAAAUAAGCCAGCCAUAUUGUUUUCAACUUUUCCUUAAUCUUAGCUGAAACUGCUAAGAAAGACUCUUCUAAUGUUUGCAGAUGUUGUUUAGCAUUUUACCUCAGAGCCCUGUAAAUAUAUUUUGUAUUCAAGCUGUGCUACCUGUAACUUAUUCAAUGUCAUGAACGCACAUACAGGUUGAACCUUGAUGGGUGUCAUCAACAACGCUUUGUUCAAAGUAAAAAAAUCUUAAAACACUAGCUAUGCUUUGGAAGCCUUUUGCUUUACUCACACAGUUAGGACAAGAUACUUUACAGUUGA